GACGAACGCUGGCGGCGUGCUUAACACAUGCAAGUCGAGCGAGGCCCCUCCUUCGGGAGGGUGUCCUAGCGGCGAACGGGUGAGUAACACGUGGGCAACCUGCCCUCAGCUCUGGGAUAACUCCGGGAAACCGGGGCUAAUACCGGAUACGACCUCCACGGGCAUCUGCGGAGGUGGAAAGUUUUUCGGCUGAGGAUGGGCCCGCGGCCUAUCAGCCAGUUGGUGGGGUAGUGGCCCACCAAGGCGACGACGGGUAGCCGGCCUGAGAGGGCGACCGGCCACACUGGGACUGAGACACGGCCCAGACUCCUACGGGAGGCAGCAGUGGGGAAUAUUGCGCAAUGGGCGAAAGCCUGACGCAGCGACGCCGCGUGAGGGACGAAGGCCUUCGGGUUGUAAACCUCUUUCAGCAGGGACGAAGCGAAAGUGACGGUACCUGCAGAAGGAGCACCGGCCAACUACGUG
rnacentral:rRNA from 1 species